UGGGGAAUUUUGGACAAUGGGGGAAACCCUGAUCCAGCCAUCCCGCGUGUGCGAUGAAGGCCUUCGGGUUGUAAAGCACUUUUGGCAGGAAAGAAACGUCGCGGGUUAAUACCCCGCGAAACUGACGGUACCUGCAGAAUAAGCACCGGCUAACUACGUGCCAGCAGCCGCGGUAAUACGUAGGGUGCAAGCGUUAAUCGGAAUUACUGGGCGUAAAGCGUGCGCAGGCGGUUCGGAAAGAAAGAUGUGAAAUCCCAGAGCUUAACUUUGGAACUGCAUUUUUAACUACCGGGCUAGAGUGUGUCAGAGGGAGGUGGAAUUCCGCGUGUAGCAGUGAAAUGCGUAGAUAUGCGGGGGAACACCGAUGGCGAAGGCAGCCUCCUGGGAUAACACUGACGCUCAUGCACGAAAGCGUGGGGAGCAAACAGGAUUAGAUACCCUGGUAGUCCACGCCCUAAACGAUGUCAACUAGCUGUUGGGGCCUUCGGGCCUUGGUAGCGCAGCUAACGCGUGGAAGUUGACCGCCUGGGGAGUACGGUCGCAAGAUUAAAAACUUAAA
rnacentral:rRNA from 1 species